AAAUUUGUUGUCUCCCAGAGCCCAGUGUCACCUUUCAGUUUAAUCACUGAAUUCCGAAAUACCACUUUUGAAGGUGUAAUGGGUCCUGUGACUCUAGAUGAAUUUGGAGACAUUGAUACCAAUCUGACCGUGCUGUACACGUCACAGACUGCAAAUUAUUUCAAACCUCUUCUGUAUUUCAACACUCAAAGCAAUGAGACAUACGAGGCGACUAACAGUCCUGAUUUUAUCUGGAAGAACCACAGGCUGCCCAGUGAUACUCCAGGCACUGGUGAGACACCCA